AGCAGUAGCCACGGGAAUACGUAGGGUGCAAGCGUUGUCCGGAAUUAUUGGGCGUAAAGAGCGUGUAGGCGGCUCGACAAGUCCGCUGUGAAAGUCCAGGGCUCAACCCUGGAAUGCCGGUGGAUACUGUCGAGCUAGAGUCCGGAAGGGGCGAGUGGAACUCCUGGUGUAGCGGUGAAAUGCGCAGAUAUCAGGAAGAACACCAAUGGCGAAGGCAGCUCGCUGGGACGUGACUGACGCUGAGACGCGAAAGCGUGGGGAGCGAACAGGAUUAGAUACCCCGGUAGUCCCUGUCUCUUAUAC
rnacentral:rRNA from 1 species